rnacentral:rRNA from 1 species
UACGUAGGGGGCGAGCGUUGUUCGGAAUUACUGGGCGUAAAGGGUGCGUAGGCGGCGCGGUAAGUCGGGUGUGAAAUCUCGGAGCUUAACUCCGAAACUGCAUUCGAUACUGCCGUGCUUGAGGACUGGAGAGGAGACUGGAAUUUACGGUGUAGCGGUGAAAUGCGCAGAUAUCGGGAGGAACACCGGUGGCGAAGGCGGUUCUCUGGGCCUUACCUGACGCUGAGGAGCGAAAGCGUUGGGGAGCGAACAGG